UACAGAGGUCUCAAGCGUUGUUCGGAUUCAUUGGGCGUAAAGGGUGCGUAGGCGGCGCGGUAAGUCGGGUGUGAAAUCUCGGAGCUUAACUCCGAAACUGCAUUCGAUACUGCCGUGCUUGAGGACUGGAGAGGAGUCUGGAAUUCACAGUGGAGCAGUGAAAUGCGUAGAUAUUGUGAGGAACACUAGUGGCGAAGGCGAGACUCUGGACAGUUCCUGACGCUGAGGCACGAAGGCCAGGGGAGCAAACGGG
rnacentral:rRNA from 1 species